GAGUUUGAUCCUGGCUCAGGAUGAACGCUGGCGGCGUGCCUAACACAUGCAAGUCGAACGGAUCCAUAUUGAAACCUAGUGAUGUAUGGAUUAGUGGCGGACGGGUGAGUAACGCGUGGAUAACCUGCCGUAUACAGGGGGAUAACACUUAGAAAUAGGUGCUAAUACCGCAUAAGCGCACGGUUCCGCAUGGAACAGUGUGAAAAACUCCGGUGGUAUACGAUGGAUCCGCGUCUGAUUAGCCAGUUGGCGGGGUAACGGCCCACCAAAGCGACGAUCAGUAGCCGGCCUGAGAGGGUGAACGGCCACAUUGGGACUGAGACACGGCCCUAACUCCUACGGGAGGCAGCAGUGGGGAAUAUUGCACAAUGGGGGAAACCCUGAUGCAGCGACGCCGCGUGAGUGAAGAAGUAUGUAGGUACGUAAAGCUCUAUCAGCAGGG
rnacentral:rRNA from 1 species